AACGAACGCUGGCGGCAUGCCUAACACAUGCAAGUCGAACGAAGGCUUCGGCCUUAGUGGCGCACGGGUGCGUAACGCGUGGGAAUCUGCCCUUUGGUUCGGAAUAACAGCUGGAAACGGCUGCUAAUACCGGAUGAUGACGAAAGUCCAAAGAUUUAUCGCCAGAGGUUGAGCCCGCGUUGGAUUAGGUAGUUGGUGGGGUAAUGGCCUACCAAGCCGUCGAUCCAUAGCUGGUCUGAGAGGAUGAUCAGCCACACUGGAACUGAGACACGGCCCAGACUCCUACGGGAGGCAGCAGUGGGGAAUAUUGGACACUGGGCGCAAGCCUGAUCCAGCAAUGCCGCGUGAGUGAUGAGGGCCCUAGGGUUGUAAAGCUCUUUUACCCGGGAAGAUAAUGACGGUACCGGGAGAAUAAGCCCCGGCUAACUCCGUG
rnacentral:rRNA from 1 species